UUGUUAGCAGAGUCAUUACUACUUAAG
rnacentral:piRNA from 1 species